ACGGGGCGCAGCAGGCGCGAAACCUUUGCAAUGUGCGCAAGCACGACAAGGUUAAUCCGAGUGUUUCCUGCUAAAGGAAUCUUUUGUUAGUCGUAAAACCACUGAUGAAUAAGGGGUGGGCAAGUUCUGGUGUCAGCCGCCGCGGUAAAACCAGCACCUCAAGUGGUCAGGAGGAUUAUUGGGCCUAAAGCAUCCGUAGCCGGCUCUGCAAGUUUUCGGUUAAAUCCAUUUGCUUAACAAAUGGGCUGCCGAAAAUACUACAUAGCUAGGGAGUGGGAGAGGUAGACGGUAUUCGGUAGGAAGGGGUAAAAUCCUUUGAUCUAUUGAGGACCACCUAUGGCGAAGGCAGUCUAUCAGAACACGUUCGACGGUGAGGGAUGAAAGCUGGGGGAGCAAACCGGAUUAGAUACCCGGGUAGUCCCAGCUGUAAACGAUGCAGACUCGGUGAUGCACUGGCUUGUGGCCAGUGCAGUGCCGCAGGGAAGCCGUUAAGUUUGCCGCCUGGGAAGUACGUACGCAAGUAUGAAACUUAAAGGAAUUGGCGGGGGAGCAC
rnacentral:rRNA from 2 species